AACGCGAAGAACCUUACCUGGGCUUGAACCGCACAGGACCAUCUUUGGAAACAGAGACUUCCCGCAAGGGACCUGUGUAGAGGUGCUGCAUGGCUGUCGUCAGCUCGUGCCGUGAGGUGUUGGGUUAAGUCCCGCAACGAGCGCAACCCUUACUCGUAGUUGCCACCCGCAAGGGGGAACUCUACGAGGACUGCUCCGGAUAACGGAGAGGAAGGUGGGGAUGAGGUCAAGUCAGCAUGGCCUUUAUGUCCAGGGCUACACACGUGUUACAAUGCGCGCUACAAAGCGUCGCGAACCCGCGAGGGGGAGCUAAUCGCAAAAAAGCGCGCUCAGUUCGGAUUGCAGUCUGCAACUCGACUGCAUGAAGCCGGAAUCGCUAGUAAUGGCGCAUCAGAACGGCGCCGUGAAUACGUUCCCGGGCCUUGUA
rnacentral:rRNA from 1 species